GAUGAACGCUGGCGGCGUGCCUAAUACAUGCAAGUCGAGCGAACGGACGAGAAGCUUGCUUCUCUGAUGUUAGCGGCGGACGGGUGAGUAACACGUGGAUAACCUACCUAUAAGACUGGGAUAACUUCGGGAAACCGGAGCUAAUACCGGAUAAUAUUUUGAACCGCAUGGUUCAAAAGUGAAAGACGGUCUUGCUGUCACUUAUAGAUGGAUCCGCGCUGCAUUAGCUAGUUGGUAAGGUAACGGCUUACCAAGGCAACGAUGCAUAGCCGACCUGAGAGGGGGGAUGGCCACACUGGAACUGAGACACGGUCCAGACUCCUACGGGAGGCAGCAGUAGGGAAUCUUCCGCAAUGGGCGAAAGCCUGACGGAGCAACGCCGCGUGAGUGAUGAAGGUCUUCGGAUCGUAAAACUCUGUUAUUAGGGAAGAACAUAUGUGUAAGUAACUGUGCACAUCUUGACGGUACCUAAUCAGAAAGCCACGGCUAACUACGUG
rnacentral:rRNA from 1 species